GACACAGGCUCUAGAGUCAGACCACUUAGGAUUGAGAUCCAGCUCUGCCACCUGCCAGCUGAAUGGCCUUUGAAGAUCUUGCAGGUUUCCUCCCUUGUGAAUAUGAAUAUUAAUAGUACCUCAUUUAUUGAGUUGCUAUGACACACAAGUGGCCUAAUACAUGGUAAGCCCUUAGAUCCCCGCCUGGCCCCAGUUAGUACAAAAUUCUUGGCUAUCAUUAUUAUUGCUGUUGUUGUUAUGGGUGCCAACUUGUCAUCCUGAAAGAGUGUCCCAGUUUUAACUCCCACAAGCAUUGUAUGAGAGCAUUUAUUUCCACACACCUUUGUCACGCUGGGUAUUAUCAUUCCUUUUAUUAUUUCACAUUUGCCAAACUGAUAAGCAAACUUGUUGCUUUAAUCUUACUUCUUUGAUUACUAGUUAUAAACAUAUUUUUGAUGUCUUGGAAUUUACUUAUUCAUUAGUGAAUUUCCUACGCAUUAUUUCUUUUGUUUUGGGUAAACUGCUCAUCUUUUUCUUUAUGGAUUUCUUUAAUAUAUUAAUAAUGCAUGUUAACCUUUGCUGGUUAUAUAUGUUGUAAAUGUAUUUUUUUCCAGCUUUCUGUAUGCUAUUUAAUUUUGUUCCUACUUGUAGACACAGAAAUUGUAUUUUUUUGUUGUUCUUGCCUAUUAUGCUUGUACACUGAAAAGACUACCAUGAGAUAAGUUGCCUGUAUUUUUCCAAGUUAAAAAAAUUUUUUUUUUUACUUUAACUUUUGAAUUCAAAUGAAAUUAAUUUGGAAUUUCUGUAGUUAAUUUUCCCACUUUUUUGUUUAAUUAUUUAUCAAUUAAUUAUUAUAGACUAAAUUAUAUAUUUUGGUUUGUCCUUUGGCUGUUUAUUCUUUGCCAUUAAUCUCUCUCUUUUCCUAUGUUUGUAUUUUAAAUUUUUUUGUUGAUACAAGUCCACUUUUCACUAAUUUUUUAGAAAUAUUUUCUUGGGGGGUGGGGGUGACUGGGUGAUGGGCACUGAGGUGGGCACUUGACGGGAUGAGCACUGG
rnacentral:lncRNA from 1 species